CCUGGCUCAGGACGAACGCUGGCGGCGUGCUUAACACAUGCAAGUCGAACGAAGAGCGAUGGAAGCUUGCUUCUAUCAAUCUUAGUGGCGAACGGGUGAGUAACGCGUAAUCAACCUGCCCUUCAGAGGGGGACAACAGUUGGAAACGACUGCUAAUACCGCAUACGAUCUAAUCUCGGCAUCGAGAAUAGAUGAAAGGUGGCCUCUAUUUAUAAGCUAUCACUGAAGGAGGGGAUUGCGUCUGAUUAGCUAGUUGGAGGGGUAACGGCCCACCAAGGCGAUGAUCAGUAGCCGGUCUGAGAGGAUGAACGGCCACAUUGGGACUGAGACACGGCCCAGACUCCUACGGGAGGCAGCAGUGGGGAAUCUUCCGCAAUGGACGAAAGUCUGACGGAGCAACGCCGCGUGAGUGAUGACGGCCUUCGGGUUGUAAAGCUCUGUUAAUCGGGACGAAAGGCCUUCUUGCGAAUAGUUAGAAGGAUUGACGGUACCGGAAUAGAAAGCCACGGCUAACUACGUGCCAGCAGCCGCGGUAAUACGUAGGUGGCAAGCGUUGUCCGGAAUUAUUGGGCGUAAAGCGCGCGCAGGCGGAUUGGUCAGUCUGUCUUAAAAGUUCGGGGCUUAACCCCGUGAUGGGAUGGAAACUGCCAAUCUAGAGUAUCGGAGAGGAAAGUGGAAUUCCUAGUGUAGCGGUGAAAUGCGUAGAUAUUAGGAAGAACACCAGUGGCGAAGGCGACUUUCUGGACG
rnacentral:rRNA from 1 species